UACAGAGGUCUCAAGCGUUGUCCGGAUUUACUGGGCGUAAAGAGCGCGCAGGCGGUCGUUCAAGUCGAGUGUGAAAGCCCCCGGCUCAACUGGGGAGGGUCAUUCGAUACUGAUCGACUCGAAGGCAGGAGAGGGUAGUGGAAUUCCCGGUGUAGUGGUGAAAUGCGUAGAUAUCGGGAGGAACACCAGUGGCGAAGGCGACUACCUGGCCUGUUCUUGACGCUGAGGCGCGAAAGCUAGGGGAGCAAACGGG
rnacentral:rRNA from 1 species